rnacentral:tRNA from 2 species
GGGCGAUUAGCUCAGCUGGCUAGAGCAUCUCGUUUACACCGAGAGGGUCGGCGGUUCGAAUCCGUCAUCGCCCACCA